rnacentral:lncRNA from 1 species
CCCAAUUUCACGGUCCACUGAACAUAGAAAAUGAUAGUGCGAGUGGGGCAUCUGUGUACUAUGGACACAUUCUUGUUCUGUAAAAAUAUUGAUUACAAAUGCUUAUCUGAUUUUUUCAAGUGAUUGUCUUGCAAGUCUUUAGAUUAAAAAAAAGAAAUUGCAUGCCCACCAUGGUUGGCAGAGUGGACAAGGUAGAAAUUUUGCCCACCUGGUGCCCACUCCCAUGUUGGGCCGGUGGACAAAGCAAAAUCCACCCGAGCUGUAGUGUAGCUUAUUUUAUUGAUUUACUUUAUGUAAAGUAUUUCAUAUUCAGAUUGAAGAAAUGUUUUCAAUCCAGUUAUGGGAUAUGUAAAAAUACUUUUAGGGGGUUUAUUUUUUUAGGAUUUUUAUUCACUUGCGUAAUGUUUAUGAUUUUUCAACAUAUUGUUCAGUGUGUUCAAGUAAAUAUAAACAUAGAAUUAUCUGUAUAAUACUAAAGCAUUUAUGUAGCUAAACAAUUUUUUCAACCAUUUUAUGAAUCAGUUAACAGUGAUUGAAUGGAGAAGGGAAACAGGGAAUUUGUCUAAGAGACAACAACCUGAACCAAGAGCAAAAAAACAGCCCAAACCUUAUUCGACAUGUUUAGCAAUAUACAUAACUUUGGCUUUGGACAAAAUCUUGUAACACAUAAAUUUUUUGUAAUAAUUUUGAUAUACUAAAAACAUUGAAAUCCUGAUUAUAAAUUUCUUUGAAGAAAGCGGUUAAAAGGGACAUAUAAAAAAGAACUAUAAUUUCUUUUAUCAACAGAAAUUAUUUUACUUUUAAAAUAUGAUGCUCACACUGAAUUGCGUAAAACUACAGAUUAGUGCAGUGUUAUGCAACAGUGCUUCCUAAAAAUCACUGUUCAAAUCAUUCCAUUACUUGUGGGUUUACAGCCAUCUUUUAUAUAAAUAUUGUUUAGCUGUAUAUUUAUGGAUAAUUUAUUGAAACAUUGUAAGGUUAUGUAUGUUUUUAUUAAUAAUUUAUAUUAGUGUAUUUUUAUUAUAAAAAGGUAACCAUGGAACUUACAUUUGAUCUAUCAGACUAUCUGGUAUUCAUCAGUUGGUGUUGUUUUGUUUUGAAAUUAUUUUUUUUUUUAUCUUUAUGAAUAAAUAGAUCAUAGAUACCAGGAUUAAAACUUUGUAUACCAGACAUUGACUUCAUCUACAAAAAACUCAAUAGUGACACUUGAAUAAAAAAGUUAAAAAGCUUGCAUAAAAAACAAAGUUUAAUAUUGUUGUCACUGAUAUUUAUUAAUGAAUAAUUGUAUACCUAAUAUAAUAUCAUUUCAACAUGUUAUUUAACUGUUUACUGUGACACAAAUAUUACAGGUUCCUUUUAGUAUCCUUGUGAAGAAAACUUGUUAUAGUUAUAUUGUUGAUGGAUGUUAUCAAAUGCACUUGUUAUGUACAUAACUUUAUUAUUAGUUUUGGGGAAAGCCAGUUAACAGAAAUGUUUAUUUUUAGAUCUGCUUCAUUUCAUAUUUAUUUCAUUGCCAAAAUAUUUUUGGUCUGCUUCAGUUUAUUUUAAUUCAUUGUCAUUUGUCUGUUUCAAUAGAUUUUCUGUGUCCAUUCUAUGAAUGUGAAUCAGUCAUUCUUUUCACAUAAGUAAAAUUCUUAGAAAUAAAGAAAUCAAAUCAAACAUCCUCUGAUAAGAUUUCCUGUCUUUGUUAAGUUUUGUUUUUAGUUUGAGAUGAUAGAAAGGCUUACCCAGGACUGAAUAAGAAAAUUAUUUGGUCUGCUGUAACUCUUAGUAAUUCAAGAGGUUUUUGCCUCAUACCAAUCAAUACCAUACAAUUAUAUUCAAGUUUAUUGCUGUAUAACCUGUUUUAAAUGUCCAACCUUAUCUAAUGCAAAUGGGGGCCUCAAAUUGUAUUGGUCAACUUAAUUGAAUUGAACAUUUCACUUUUUAACACGUUCUUCUUUGAAGUUAUUCAUGGGUCAGACAAAUUAUUUUGUAAGCACAACAAGGACAGACAUGCUUCCAAUAUGGUCCCCUAUAUGCCUUUUUCCAUUAUAUAUAUAGGUUUACUUGUUUACAUUGCCAGAAUUGCGCUGUCUUGUUUAUUCUUUGUGAAUGGGUUUGUUUUACUGCUCAUUAUAUAUUAGCUUGUUUACUUUUGUUUUAUGUUAAGCCUGGGAUUGUUUUUUUGUUUACUACAAAUCUCACUGAUUCUUUUUUUAAUUAUUUUAGAAAGUGCCGAUUUUAUCCUUUUGUUUUGUUUGUAUUUUAUAUAUUUGUUUGUUUUUUGCCUGUUUGUUUUGUUUAAUGCUGUGCAUUUGAAUAAGAAAUUCAUUGGUUUGUGUAUUUCAUAAAUCAAGAUCUCAUUUUAGAUAAAAGUAGAGUUACCGUACAUCUACUGGUCAAGGUUUACUGUGCUUCACAUAUCAUGGCUGAAUGUGGCUAAUAUGGGAGAACUUAGAAAACGUGUCAAGUUGUAUGAAUGAUUGGGAGAGUAAGCAUGGGUAGACGAUUAAUUUCAUGGUUUCUGUUAAUUCUGAAAUGAGUUAUGUGCAGGAGAUCAGUUUAUGCAUAAUAAGUAAAAUCCUGAAAAACAAUCUUCAUAAAUAAUGAGUGUUAAACUGAUUACUUUUGACUUGGUUCCGUCAAGAUAGUUGUUUAUUUGUUGCCAUGCAUAAAAUUGUCUUAUUUUUUCAGAUUUUAAAUCUUAAACUGUUAUUAUUAAAAGGUAAAUCAAUUUUACUAUGUCCUAUAUAAUGUCAACUCUACAUUGUUACUGCUAUGUAUUACAAUUUUAAAAAAUAGGUUUUUAAACACAAAUUUUUUCACAUAGAAGAUACAUUUGUAAAUAUAACUUGAUCUGGAGUUGUCCUUUCUUGGAUGGUGUCCUGAAUUUAGAGUAAAAUGAUGAUUUCAGUUUUAUAGUUCUGAUCUCACUGCCAUAUUUAUAUUAGUAAAUGGUACUUUUACAUCUAUUUUAAUUUAUGAUUGAUUUUAGAAGUAAUUUGUAUUUCAUUGUUAUUGUUAUUCAUUAGUUAAGUAGCCUUCCUUUAGUUUGUUAUUUUAGAAUUUAGUUGUUAUUUUAGAAUGUGAGUUUCCAAAAUAUCUUUUAUUCCUGUGUAAAUGCAAGUUAAUGUUGCAAAUUAAGAUAAUAUUGUGAAUUUUGACAUUUAAACCGAUCAUGGAUUUCUCACAACUACAAUUUAUAACAUAAAUAAUUUAUUUUCAUGAGUAAGCCUAACAAUUGUGUUCCAAGAAAUAAGAGACUUAUACUAAUUUCAUGAUUUAAUUGUAUUUAAACAUGUCUUUUUCAUGACUAUAUGUGUUCAUUGUUUGGAUUUUAAACAUAGCUCCACAGCUUGUAUAAUUAUUUUAUCAUUUAUUGUCACUGUAAUUCAUGAUUGAGGGCAUUAUUAUUUUAAAACAAGAAAUAUUUUCAGCAUUUAUGGUUACUUUUUAUAAUCAAGGCAGCAGUUUGCACGAUUAACACCAAGCACUAUGACCUGGGUCCUUUGAUUUUAUUUGGAAAAGAGACUCAAAUGCCAUAUACAUAUAAAUAAAAUGAAAUAUUAUAAAAGACUGAUUAGUCAAAAAAGUCCCAAAAAAUUGUGAAGAGACAGUUUGCCAAUUUAUUUACUGAAUCACUUCUGUAGUUGUUUUAAAUAAGAUGGUAAUAAAUAGCAUUGUAAUGAUUUGAUUGAUUAAUGUGUUUUUCAGUGUUUUCAUUUUAUCAUAAUUUUUUUUUAAUCCAACUAUAGGAAAACAAGGUAUAUCAACAUAUGGCAAAAUUAGAAAAAGGAUUAAGAUUAUAGAUAGUGUAAAAAAUAUUACACAACACUGGGGAUGUUAUAAAAUGUUCUGAAAUGACAGCAAUUCCUGCUCCACUAAUAAAACAAAACAUUUGUUGUAUUAAUUCAAUUACUAAGAAUUAUUGUCAAGUAAAGUGUUCCAAGGAAAACAGCAUUCCAUUAUGUGUUAGGAUUAUUAUAGAAAUCAUGUGACAACUAAACGGUUUUAUUCUUGAAGCAUUUGAUAUUUCACUGAUUUGAUGCAUUUAGAUCCUAUAUGGUUUUUUUUUUUUUAUAUAAUGCAAUAAUUUAAUUUUGGAUGUAACGCGUCUUCUGAUUGGCUGACGUUAUUUUGUUAUGAGCCAAUAGACAUAAUUUAGUCAUGUGACCGUGACGUCAUCAACGUUUUUUCAUGGUUUUCUACGGUUUAAAAUGGAAUUUAGAAUUAAAUUACAAGAAAUGACUGUAAUAUUUUUUCUGUCUAUUCAAAAUAACAUAAAAAAUGUGGUGCACACUGUUAAAUAACCCGCUACGAGCGUUAUUAAGUGUGCACCAAAUUUUUUAUGUUAUUUCUUCAAAGACAGAAAAAAUAUUACAGUCAUUCCUUAAUUGUAAAAAAACCAGGAUCCUCAUUCUAAAUAUCACAUGUAUUCACAUGGAUUAAACAUUUGCUGUGCUUAGUUUUAAGUUUGCAGUUGAAUAUUUUGAAAUAUGUAAACACGAUUUUUUGAAAGUUCUGUAUAAUAUACUUUGAUUAAUUAUAUAUUUGUAAUCUAAUUGACAUAAAAAAAUGUUUUUUGUUCUAAUAUUAAAAUGUUUUCCUAGUUAACCACAUAAUUGCUAAAGAGAUCAAAUGUUAGUAAAAUUCCAUAGACUUCAGAUUUAUUUAUCAAUUUUUUGAAACAGAACGAAUUAAUUAAUUUAGAUUUAGCAUUGUAGUAAAAAAAAAGUUACUUUGAAAGAAUUUAUUGAGGUGAAUAUUUGGCCUGCUCAUAAAUAAUAACAUUUGUGAGUAUAACUAGGUAAAAAAAUUGACUGCUUAAAAACUCAGCAAAAACUUUUACUGCUUAAAAAACAAGUUUGUCUGUAGUAAUGUAUUCUCAAGACAACAUGACAUGGGUCUGUUCUCUUUUGUUUUCCUCGGCUCUCACCAAUGUAUAAGGCUUUUUAACAAGUACAACAUUUUAUAAAUAUUUAUAGUACAUGUAUUGUGCUAGAUAAUAUUACUGAAUUGAACAGUAUAGUUCACAGACCUUGAAUUCAAAUUAAAAAGACUAUAUAUCAAAAAAGAAAAGUUCACAACUUAAAACUGAUUGAUUUAUUACAUAUUAAAUUUUUUUUUUAUAGAUAACUAUUUUUGUAAAUAACUAUGAAUGAAGUUUCUAUUUAUUGAGUGAUUGUGCUGUGUAUGAAUCAACUAUCAUCAUAACAAUAUCAUUGCUGUCU